rnacentral:pre_miRNA from 9 species
UCUCGAUAGCGUAAAAGUUAACUCAAAUUUGUAAGGAGUUGGAAUUGGAACGUUUAAGUACGUUUGCCGCUAGGGGCGCUGUUCCAACUGCAUACAAAUUUGAGAUAACUUUUACGUUAUCGA